AGGGAAUAUUGGGCAAUGGAUGCAAGUCUGACCCAGCCAUGCCGCGUGGAGGAAGAAGGUCCUCUGGAUUGUAAACUCCUUUUGUCGGGGAAGAAUAGGCAGGAUGCGUCCUGUUGUGACGGUACCCGAUGAAUAAGCCACGGCUAACUACGUGCCAGCAGCCGCGGUAAUACGUAGGUGGCAAGCGUUGUCCGGAUUUAUUGGGUUUAAAGGGUGCGUAGGUGGUUUAUUAAGUCAGUGGUGAAAGCUGGUUGCUCAACAAUCAAGUUGCCAUUGAUACUGAUAGACUUGAGAGAAGUGGAGGUUCAUGGAAUGGAUGGUGUAGCGGUGAAAUGCAUAGAUAUCAUCCAGAACGUCGAUUGCGAAGGCAGUGGGCUGUACUUUUUCUGACACUGAGGCACGAAAGCGUGGGGAUCAAAC
rnacentral:rRNA from 1 species